CCUGAAGUGUGUAGAGUUCUCAAAUCCUACGUCUCUUCUUAUGUGUGUCAGGUGACUGUUUCAGAGACUCUGUGGUAUCUCAAUUGGUUUCAGAUGCUUGCAUCUGGGCAGCUGAAUCAAGACCUGAAGGUAAAUAGAGAGGAAGUUAGGAAAGAUACUUCAAUGUCUUCGAUGUUGGUAAUGCUGAAGAGCAGCAACAUGAAAUGCAUGAACAGAAGAGUCGUUUUCAGGCUUCCUACAACAACCAGUAUCAG
rnacentral:lncRNA from 1 species